UACAGAGGUCCCAAGCGUUGUUCGGAUUCACUGGGCGUAAAGGGUGCGUAGGUGGCGAGGUAAGUCGGAUGUGAAAUCUCGGAGCUCAACUCCGAAACGGCAUUGGAAACUACCUUGCUAGAGGGUUGGAGGGGGAUUGGAAUUCUCGGUGUAGCAGUGAAAUGCGUAGAUAAUCGAGAGGAACACCAGUGGCGAAGGCGAGUCCCUGGACAACUCCUGACACUGAGGCACGAAGCUAGGGGAGCAAACAGG
rnacentral:rRNA from 1 species